UACGGAGGGGGCGAGCGUUAUUCGGAAUUAUUGGGCGUAAAGGGCUCGUAGGCGGUCUGUCGCGUCGAAAGUGAAAACCCAGGGCUUAACCCUGGGCCUGCUUCCGAUACGGGCAGACUAGAGGUAUGCAGGGGAGAACGGAAUUCCUGGUGUAGCGGUGAAAUGCGUAGAUAUCUGGAGGAACACCGGUGGCGAAGGCGGCAUCCUGGACCAAUAUUGACGCUGAGGAGCGAAAGCCAGGGGAGCAAACGGG
rnacentral:rRNA from 1 species